GCGGUCAUAGUUAAACGGCAUAAUUCUUGCUUCCCAAGCAAGUGUUCGGGGUUCAAUUCCCCGUGGCCGCA
rnacentral:tRNA from 1 species